ACCACAGAUACCCACAGUGACCCCCAGGCAGCCAAGCGGCUGUGCGGGGGCAGCGAUGGGCGUCGCUCUGCCCUGCGGGAUGCGGCAAGAGGGCUCGGCGGCCAGCACGCCCCGGCAGGUGACUUCGCGGGCGACCAGAUUCCCCGCGGUGCUGCUGCUGCCAGAACCGUGCAGGCGCUGGAAGGGCAUCCGGAACGUGGAUCCUCACUCUGAAAGGUCAGAACUCAUUUGUCCAAAAUCGGGCGUCUUCAAGGUCACGUCUCCACGAGAGGAUGAAACCGCUCCUCCACCCCGUUCUCUGCCGGCAUCCCCGUGGGGACCUCGGGCCCGAGGUGUCCAGGAGGCCAGGUGGUGGAAUGGCCCUGGACCGCUGGCCGGGUCAUUGCCUCCCCUCAGAAAACCGCCGCUGUCCGGGUGCAGAGCCAGAACCUCCCCCACGCUUGACUCCCCCAGAUGCCGGAGGCCGGCCGUCCCCCCCGCGCCCUCCUGGGUCAGCUUCUGCUUCUCCCCGGCCUGUCCUCCUGAGGCAGGAUCUUCCCUGCUUCAGCCCCAAGCCCUUCUCAUCACCCAUCACGCUGGGAGACCUCGAGGUCCCGCUAAGGCGCCUCCUUACAGUCUUGGGGCUCUGUUCCCCCUCACUCCUGGUCAGCCACACUGGGCUGCUUGCUGUUCCGGACAGAGCCAGGCUUGCCCGGGCCCAGGGCCUUUGCACAGGCCGUCUGGUGCCUGGGGCCCUUGUCUCCCCCACAGGAGGCAGGAAGUUGCAUGUUGCCAUCUGGGGUGGGGGCGCUGUGCUGGUACGAUGUAAAUGGCACCCCGCUCCCCUUCCCCCCACCCCCGGCUCUCACAGCACUGAUGUAUUUUGUGGGGGGGUCGACUGUCCUUAUGGCUGACUUUUAAGCUCCUUCUCCAGGAGCAAAGGGCAGGUGCGAGCGACACGGGAGCGCACGUCCCACUCGUUCUGGCUUCCUGUCCAGCAGAGGCAUCCCUUCCUGCUGUGCGUUCACUCGCAGAGGAGGCGCAGGGAGAGAGGUGGUUCCUGGGGGGCACGUGGUAGUCUUGCUGUCAGUAACGAGUAUAAAGUUUUCAUUGUAAAGGUGAAACGUUUAAAAACGCGGGGAUGGGCGUUGCAGAUGGAGGCUGCCGGCAGCCAAGCGCUAAGGGGCAGGAGGAGCAGACACGGGCGAGUCUCACCGUCUCCGAGCAAAGGGUGAUUUGUUUUUUUAAUGUCAAAUACCCCGUGGGUCUUGGUCAGAGCUGUGAUUCAACAUCUGACCUUUGCAGGGUCUGGGCUCUUCAGAAGGACGCUGUUUUUCGGUACCAGC
rnacentral:lncRNA from 1 species